CAAGUCGAACGAUGAUGCUCCAGCUUGCUGGGGUGGAUUAGUGGCGAACGGGUGAGUAACACGUGAGUAACCUGCCCUUCACUUUGGGAUAAGCCUUGGAAACGGGGUCUAAUACCGGGUAUACACAUACUGUCGCAUGGUGGUGUGUGGAAAGCUUUUGUGGUGAGGGAUGGACUCGCGGCCUAUCAGCUUGAUGGUGGGGUAGUGGCCUACCAUGGCUUUGACGGGUAGCCGGCCUGAGAGGGUGACCGGCCACACUGGGACUGAGACACGGCCCAGACUCCUACGGGAGGCAGCAGUGGGGAAUAUUGCACAAUGGGCGAAAGCCUGAUGCAGCGACGCCGCGUGGGGGAUGAAGGCUUUCGGGUCGUAAACUCCUUUCAGCAGGGACGAAGCUUUUGUGACGGUACCUGCAGAAGAAGCACCGGCUAACUACGUGCCAGCAGCCGCGGUAAUACGUAGGGUGCGAGCGUUGUCCGGAAUUAUUGGGCGUAAAGAGCUUGUAGGCGGUUUGUCGCGUCUGCCGUGAAAGCCCAGGGCUUAACCCUGGGUCUGCGGUGGGUACGGGCAGACUAGAGUGUGGUAGGGGAGACUGGAAUUCCUGGUGUAGCGGUGAAAUGCGCAGAUAUCAGGAGGAACACCGAUGGCGAAGGCAGGUCUCUGGGCCACUACUGACGCUGAGAAGCGAAAGCAUGGGGAGCAAACAGGAUUAGAUACCCUGGUAGUCCAUGCCGUAAACGUUGGGAACUAGGUGUGGGCCUCAUUCCACGAGGUCCGUGCCGUAGCUAACGCAUUAAGUUCCCCGCCUGGGGAGUACGGCCGCAAGGCUAAAACUCAAAGGA
rnacentral:rRNA from 1 species